rnacentral:ncRNA from 2 species
AGGAAGCCGGUGGAAACCCGGCGCGGUCCCGCCACUGUGACCCCGGGCGACCGGGGGAGCCAGACACU